rnacentral:rRNA from 1 species
UACGUAGGGUGCGAGCGUUGUCCGGAAUUAUUGGGCGUAAAGAGCUUGUAGGUGGUUUGUCGCGUCUGCUGUGAAAAUCCGAGGCUCAACCUCGGACUUGCAGUGGGUACGGGCAGACUAGAGUGUGGUAGGGGAGACUGGAAUUCCUGGUGUAGCGGUGAAAUGCGCAGAUAUCAGGAGGAACACCGGUGGCGAAGGCGGGUCUCUGGGCCGGAUAC